AUAUUUUCGUCUGCACGAUUUUUUGUCAAACUACGUCAUACCGGAAGUGAAAGUUACAGCAACACUUGUGAAGGAAAAUGUUACCAGUGGCAGUGAAAACGCAUCUUGACCAUUUUCCAGAGUUAGAUAAGGAUAUAUAUGAUAGCAUCGUGGAGAAGAACGAAGAAAAGGUAAUUUCUUUACAGAUAGAGAUAUUUUAUUACCACCUUUCAAUAAUGUCAUGCAGAUAGAAUCCAUGUAUAACAGCUCGCCCCAUUGGAAGUCGCCCCACUUUUUCACCAACUCGUCUAGUCCGAGAUUACUACUCGUCCAACCUUCUAACACAUCGCCCCUCUCUUGCACACCAACUCGCCCCAUAAAGAGUGGAAAAUGCGAUUGCAAAUAGUUCUGACAACUCAUUAAACAAUGUUAAAUGGGUUACGUAAGGUUCAUCACCAACGGACAAAAGUGGCUGUAUUCACACUGUUUUACACCUCAAAAACUCUUCUGUGUACAGACUUAUCUGUGCAGUUUGAAAGGUUUUAUGGCCUUGCAUCCAUAAUUUAGAUAUUAAAAAGUUAAAUGCAUUUUGUGUUUCAGAAAGAUAUAAAAAGUGAUAUGGCAUGACUGAGACUAUAUAGUAGUCUCAGGGCAUGGUAUGAGACCAAAUGGCGCUAAAUAAGAAAGUAUAGGUCACUGUCAGUGGCGGAUCCAGGAAAUUUCAUAAGUGGGGGCCCACUGACUGACCUAAGAGGGGGCCUGCUCCAGUCACGCUUCAGUGAUUCCCUAUAUAAGCAACCAAAUUUUCUCCAAAAAAGGGGGCCCGGGCCCCCCCUAAAUCCGCCUCUGACUGUCAGGCCUUCAACAAUACACCUUAUCGCUUAUCCCGGCUGACCUGGCGGCUUGAACUUUUGACGCAUACAACAAUCACUUUUCCAUUGUGGCGUCAGAUAUUAUGUUUUAUGACGUCAAAAUAUUAUGGGAAUCUGUGUGAUAUCCAGUAAUGGCGGACAAAUAGCGUUAAGGUGUUUGAGGACCUGUGUUCAAGUUUGGUUGCUUCUGCAGGCUUCAAAUUGAUUUAUUUGUGCUAUUAACCAUGAUUUAUAGGUUCCUCGAUCCUGUAAGACCCUUUAAAAAAAAUUGAUGUUUUCAUCUCAAAAUUUACUAUCAGUAAUACAUUGUACAAGCUAUAAAAAAGAAGAUUGAUUGAUUGCAAUGAGACAACUGUCCGCAAGAGUCCAAAAUGACACAGACAUUAACUUCUAAAGGUCACCUAUUAAUCUGGAAAACUCUUAAGGCAUAUUACAUGUAUUACAUGCCAUACAUGCAUGGAAUAGAUAUAUAUAUGUAUGUUGUGUACAAGAUGUAAGUUUGUACAAAUUAUAAUUUGUACAGGGUUUUUGUACAAGUUAUAAGAUUUUUGACACCUACCUUCUUGCAACAGGUGAUACAGGUUUAACUUAUACAAUGUACCAGUGUAAUGUUUUAAAUUCAAAAAAAAUAUACGUCAACCUAACAUUUAGUGCUAUUCUCCUUGCCUUCAAACUGGAAAUGAGGAUACCUGAAUGGUUUAAAUUCUAAUUUUAUUUUUUUCCUUAUACCAUAUUCAUAUCUAUACAAAAUCUUUGUGAGGUCUUAUAAUGUUUUUGUAUCAAUGCUCAGUAUUAGAGUGUAUCAUGAAGUUGUGAAAAAUUGACAGAAAUAUGCGGAGCAAAAGACUGUGCUUGCAUCAUCCAUUUUUGUUCAGCAGGUCAUAAAACACUGAUAACUUGUACAAAAAUUCUGUACAAAUUGUAAUUUGUACAACAUUACAACUUGUACACAACAUAUAUAUAAAUAAAAUUAAAUGUGUAUUUUAUUUUUUAGAAAAUUAAAAAACUUAAACCCAGCAAUUUUAGCCCCCCUUUUUUUUACAGUGCUGCAACAUAUUAGGUUACUGUUAAUGCAUAGAAUAUUUUACAUGUUCUACUCUAACAUGUCCAAACAUUGCCUAGUUUCGUGGGCCUCAGGACCCUCUUUUUGGAAAAUCCUGGAUCUGCAUCUUGAAUAUAUACAUGUAUACUUUAAAUACAUGUAAGUUUUAAAUACAUGCAAGUUGACAUCUUGUGGUUAAACAUGAUAUCAUUUGAUGCUGAUAUGUUAUUGGAAGUAUGUAAUAUAUACUUUAAUAAAGAAUUUUUCUUAAAAAUAGUUGUUUAAAAUUCAAAAAUACAAUUAAGUUUCCUAGAAUCCGGGUCUGUUCAUGCCCAAUCACCUUUGUGCCCACUCAUGUUCGCCCUCUUUCGCAUUCGCACCCUACAUGUUGUCGCCCCUUUUUUUUUUGGUUUUGUGUUUUUAUUUGUUAUUGAGUUUUGGUAAACGUGGUAAAUGUAUUGCUAUAAACAUACCUUUUUUCAUAGUUUCCAAAUAAAGUGAGAUUCUGAUAAAAAAAAUUGUGUCAUGGUAUUUUAAAUUUAUUGCUUUAAACAUGAUAAACAUUUGGUUUUUUUUUUACAUUUAUAAUUAACAUUUAAUAAUUAUGACAUCAAAUUAAUUUUAAAAAAUCUUUAUUAUAAUUCCUCACAUUUUAUUUAAGAAAAUAUGAUUAUUUGGUAUAAACAUAUAGCUGAAAUGAGAAUAAAAAUUGGGCGUGAACGUGUAGGGUGCGAACAGACUUCGGGGGCGAACAUGUGAGGUGCGAACGUGAAGGAUGCGAACAGACCUGAUACCAGUUUCCUUGCUGAACAAAAAUCAACCUACAUUUGUAAUCAAUGAACAUGAUUGGAAAAUAUUUGCGACAGAUAAAUUCAUUAUAAAUGAUAAUUGAUUUUACUUAUUAAUAGGAAUAAUUAAAGGAAUUAUAGAAGGGAACACACAACUAUUAUUUUAAUAUUUCAUUUCUACUAGGAUUCACAAGAAAUGAAACAUUUGGCAAAUUGCACCAGGACUGGAAAGGCUAAAGGAGUAAAAUGAAGUACACAAGAAAUAAGAAUUUAGACAUGUGCUGCAGCUAGAAACAGAUAUGUAAGUAUUUAUAAAUAAAAAUUAUCAGUGUUCCCAACAUGCCCAAAGUUGGGAUUGGGGUGAACAAUGGUGAAGGUUUACUGCUUAUCCUGCUACAUUUUUGUACCUUAAAUAAAUGUUAAGAAGAAAAAUUGCUUACUCUUUAUGUUAAUAACUGUAUAAUAAAUUUGCUGUUAAUAAAGAAUCUUGAUUUUGUAAUUUGCUUCUAAUUAGUCCCCUACCAAUGAAGUUGAUGUGGAAUUAAGUUUGCACUCCGUCUGUCUGUCAAUUCUCAGUCAGGCAAAUCAGUUUUCCACACUUUUUUCUUCCUUCUUGAAGAUAUUGAUUUAAUGUUAGUUAUAAAGUUGUAUCAUGACACAAGUUAUAGAUCAAGUUUGAAUGGUAUUUUGGUCUGAUGAUUAUGUCCAGAGUUAUGGUCCAAAAAAAAUUUGAUAUCUAUAACAUUAUUAGUUUGGGUGAAAAUACCAUGAUUACCAAACAAUGUUGGGACAUUUUUUCUGACGUACAUUGUAUGUUUUUCUAUAUAGAAUGCUUUAUAAUAUUUGUGCAUUUUAGCUGGAUUUACUAUAUUGGAAAUACAAUUCAGUACCAAUUAAAAUGUACUUAUUUAUGCAUUACUACUAUAUGACAUGUACAACAAACUACAAUAUAUAUACAUGUAUAUGUAUAGCAAUUGCAAAAUUUCUUCUGAACUAACUAAUUCAGUAAAGUGAAUGAGUUCCAGCUGGCAAAAACAUGUAGUACAUGUCAUGUAUGCACUGGAAGUUGGUAUCCCUGAGAUUAAUAAAAUAGUUUUUGUACAUGUACACAAAAUAUAUAUUUUAUUGUGAAAGAAAUGAAACUUUUCUGCAGAAUAGUAUCCUCUUGGUCAAAGUACAUGUAUAUGUAUUUAUAAUAAACAUUAAUAAGUAAUGCAACAUAUUAGUAUGCAUGAUCACAUGAAUGAGAAAUCAUAUAUUUUUUUUUUUCAGGGGAACAUUUUGCAUAUAAAAUCCAGAGAAUGAAUCAAUGGCAAUUGGACAUAUCUUAUUUACUAGAAAGUGUUUCCUGGCAUGCCUGAGGAACAAGCCUGUGUGUUUAAGGUAUAAAGACUUAACAAUUAACAUAUAUAUCUAAAUGGAUAUACAUGCCCCUUGGAAACAAUCAUUAUAUGGAAAACUGCCUUACACAUGUUACAAGUGCACUAAUGUGUACAAUUCUUACCAGAUUUUUGUCGAGCCUGCAACUUUUGUCGCAGAAAGCUGGACAUAGUGAUAGUGAUACAGUGCCCUGGUGUUGGCAGCGGCAGCUAACUCUCAAAAGCUUCAUAUUUUAGAGGGUUGAAGACUUGGAUGCAUCAUACUUUGUAUAUAGAUGCCUCAUGUUAUGAAGUUUCCAUCAGUCACAUGUCCAAUGUCUUUGACCUCAUUUUCUUGUAUAUUCAGUGUAUGGAAGGACUGUAAGGUGUACAUGUCCAACUGGCAGGUGUCAUGUGACCUUGACCUAAUUUUUAUGGUUCAGCUGUAAUAGUUAAGUUUUUGUGUUUUGGUCUGUUUUUCUUAUACUGUAUGCAAUAGGUCUACUAUAAUUGGUGUAUGGAAUGAUGAUAAGGUGUACAUGUCUAGCUGGUAGGUGUCAUCUGACCUUGACCUCAUUUUUAUGGUUCAGUGGUCAAAGGUAAAUUUUUAAGUUUUGGUCUUUUUAAAAACUAUAUGGUCAACUUUUUUAUAGCUUUUUGUUCGGUGUGAGCCAAGGCUCCGUGUUGAUGGCUGUACAUUGACCUAUAAUGGUUUACUUUUAUAAAUUGUUAUUUGGAUGGAGAGUUGUCUCAUUGGCACUCACGCCACAUACUCCUAUAUCUAAUAAUUAUUUGGUGUAUGGAAAUAUUGUAUGAACUAUAUGUUAGUCACACAGGUUUUAUUUGACCUUGACCUCAAUUGGUAAAUGUUAAGUUUAUGUCAUUGUGACAGUUAUAUUUAGGACCAUCAACAUAAUAUCAAUGAUUAGUAAAGAAGUAGAGACAUUUCAGUGUGUGCACUCUUGUUAUGAAAUUUAUGUUAAGUUUUAUGUCAUCAAUAUUUUAGACAAGUUUGAAAAUCAUUGCAGAACAAAUAUUUUUAAAAGAAUUGUUUCCUUGAAUGUCCCAAAUAUAAAAAAAGAAGAUGUGGUAUGAUUGCCAAUGAGACAACUCUCCACAAGAGACCAAAUGACAAAGAAAUUAACAACUAUCAUCUGACAUGAUCAUGACUAUAGUUAAUCGUACAACCUUCAACAAUGAGCAAAGCCCAUACCAUACAGUCAGCUAUAAAAGGCCGUGAAAUGACAAAUGUAAAACAUUUCAAACAAGAAAACAAACCACCUAAUCUUAAGUACAAAAAAAUUAACGAAAAAAAAUAAUAUGUAACACAUCAACAAACAUUAACAACUGAAUAACAGGCUCCUGACAGGCACAUUUGUACAGAAUGUGUGGGGGUGGGGUUCAACAUGUAAGCGAGAUCCAAACCCUCCCUCUAACUUGGGACAGUGGUGUGAAAGUACAACAUAAGAAUAAACUAUAAAAAUCAGUUGAAAAAGGCUUAACUCAUCAAAUGAUACAAAUAGAAAUACAACACAGAGUAGACAUGGCUGGGUACUUGUUUAUUUAUCCCAACAACAAAAAGACAGCUAAGUGCAGAUCUGAGAGUACUCACAGCUACUGGCAGCUAGUUUUAAAGCCACUAUCAUCUAAUAAAAAAAUCUCGAUCUUGGACUAAAUUAUCAAUCAGUACACAUCCAACAUCCAAUGGAUUUAGUGUAAAGAAGUCAUUUAAACAGUCAGAGGAAAACAUGACUGUAUAAUGCCAAGAUACAGGUUUAGACAGAUUAUAGAUCUUUGAAUCUGUAUAUGUAUAUAACAGUAAUAUUUAGUUUGCUUUUAAUUUUCUGAUAACAAAAUCAAUAUUAAUACCAGGAAAAACAAUAUUCAAUGAUCAAAAUUGGUUUCCAAUCUCUAACUUUAGUUUUGAAUAACUUGACCAAAUGUUAUAAAAACAUAUACAAAAUGCUUAAUAGCACAAAACGUGUGUCAAGAUUGAAUUUUGGUGGCGUCAUUUUAAUCGUUUUAGAGUUAUGCUCCUUUACAAAUGGAAAACUGCUGAAUUUUCAGUUUUCUGUUUUCUAACUUAAGUUAGCCUCAACCAAAAGUAAUGAAACUUAUACACAAUUCUUAUUACCGCAAAAAAAAGAGCAAGAUUGAAUUUGGGUGGUGUCACUUUUAAUAAAAAUGUUUUCUGAUUUUUUUUUUACAUAAAUUAGACUGUUGUUUUACCCUUUUGAAUGGUUUUACACUAGUCAUUUUGGGGGCCCUUUAUAGCCUACUGUUCUGUGGGAGCUAAGGCUCUAUGUUGAAACCCAUACUUUGACCAAUAAUGUUUUUUUCUUUUUCAAAUUGUGACUUGGAGUGAGAGUUGUCUCAUUUGCACUCAUACCACAUCUUCUUGUAAUAUAUCUUUUAUCCUUCCCUUUAAAAAAAAUGGAAAAAAUUGCUGAGUUUUUCCUUUUAGUUCACUACCUUGAGUUUGCCUUCGCAAAAUGGUAUGAAACUUAUACACCAUACUUUUUACCACAAAACUCUGAUCAAAUACAAAUUUGGGGAGCAUCACAUUUACAUGUUCUUCAGUUAUGUCCCUUUAUAACUUUAUAUGAUAUUUGUGUCACAUGAACACAUUCACCAUUCAUUGAAUUAUUGCCUUUGUGUUUAAUAGAUAAGAUAUGUGCAACAUGGGGGACAUUUGAACUCAUUUUAUUGAGUUAUUGCCCUUGUAUUUAAUAGAUAAGAUAUGUGCAACAUGGGGGACAUUUGAACUCAUUUUAUUGAGUUAUUGCCCUUGUAUUUAAUAGAUAAGAUAUGUGCAACAUGGGGGACAUUUGAACUCAUUUUAUUGAGUUAUUGCCCUUGUAUUUAAUAGAUAAGAUAUGUGCAAUUCUGUUCUUUUAUUGAUUUUCAAUUUUGCUUUAGUUCAGUUAUGCAAAGAUACUACAGUGUAAUACUAUAUGUUGGAAUUCAUAUCAAGAACAGAUAAUACACCUAUGAGUAGAUACUGUUGUGAAUUUUUAGCUCACCUGGCCCGAAGGGCCAAGUGAGCUUUUCCCAUCACUUGGCGUCCGUCGUCGUUGUCCUUCGUCGUUGUCCAUCGUCGUUAGCUUUUACAAAAAUCUUCUCCUCUGAAACUACUGGGCCAAAUUAAACCAAACUUGGCCACAAUCAUUAUUGGGGUAUCUAGUUUAAAAAUGUGUGGCAUGACCCGGUCAACCAACCAAGAUGGCCGCCACGGCUAAAAAUAGAACAUAGGGGGAAAAUGUAGUUUUUGGCUUAUAACUCAAAAACCAAAGCAUUUAGAGCAAAUCUGACAUGGGGUAUAAUUGUUUAUCAGGUCAAGAUCUAUCUGCCCUGAAAUUUUCAGACGAAUCAGACAACCCUUUGUUGGGUUGCUGCCCCUGAAUUUGUAAUUUUAAGGAAAUUUUGCUGUUUUUGGUUAUUAUCUUGAAUAUUUUUAUAGAUAGAGAUAAACUGUAACCAGCAAUAAUGUUCAGCGAAGUAAGAUUUACAAAUAAGUCAACAUGACCGAAAUGGUCAGUUGACCCCUUUACGAGUUAUUGCCCUUUAUAGUCAAUUUAUAACCAUUUUUCGUAAAUCUUAGUUAUCUUUUACAAAAGUCUUCUCCUCUGAAACUACUGGUCCAAAUUAAUCCAAACUUGGCAACAAUCAUCUUUGGGGUAUCUAGUUUAUAAAAUGUGUCCGGUGACCUGGCCAUCAAAUCAAGAUGGCCACCACAGCUAAAAAUAGAACAUAGGGGUAAAAUGCAGUUUUUUGACUUAUAACUCAAAAACCAAAGCAUUAAGAGCAAAUCUGACAUGGGGGUAUAAUUGUUUAUCAGAUCAAGAUCUAUCUGCCCUGUAAUUUUCAGAUGAAUCUGACAACCCUUUGUUGGGUUGCUGCCCCUGAAUCGGUAAUUUUAAGGAAAUUUUGCUGUUUUUGGUUGUUAUCUUGAAUAUUAUUAUAGAUAAAGAUAAAUUGUACCCAGCAAUCAUGUUCAGCAAAGUAAGAUUUACAAAUAAGUCAACAUGACCGAAAUGGUCAAUUGACCCCCUAAGGAGUUAUUGUCCUUUAUAGUCAAUUUUUAUAAAAUUUUUAUAAAAUUUGUAAAUUUUUAUUAACAUUUCCACUGAAACUACUGGGCCAAGUUCAUUAUAGAUAGAAAUAAUUGUAAGCAGCAAGACUGUUUAGUAAAGUAAGAUUUACAAACACAUCACUAUCACCAAAACACAACUUUGUCAUGAAUCCAUCUGCUUCCUUUGUUUAAUAUUCACAUAGACCAAGGUGAGCGACACAGGCUCUUUAGAGCCUCUAGUUUUUAAAGCUGAAAUUAUCAAUAAACAAACUCAUAAAUGCCAUGUAAAUUAAUAUUUUAUUUCAAUCUAUAUUUACAGAUAAGAAAACAACUUCAGCAUGCAAGAAAGAAGAUACAUAGUUUGGAAUCAAAUAUUUGACAUUAAUUCAAUUCAUUUUUGUUGCUUAUACAAUUCUAUUUAUUUGAAAAUUAAAGUUGACUAAAACAUAACUGAAAUAUUUGUCAUCUGUGAAUAUUUGUGAGGGGAGAGAAACAUUUAUUUUGGAAGGUAUAUGGCUUUGAAAACAGAUAUUACAACUAAAGUCAUGGAAGUGUUCAUAUUUUUUCGAUAAAGAUCAAUACUAGUUUAAAUGCAUGAACCACUGUAUCAGGUUGGGGUGAAGGUUGGUGCCAGAUAAAACGUUUAAACCCAGUGCAUUUGUUUGCACCUUCCCUAUGUCAAGAACCUGAUGUUCAGUGGGCUUAUUAUGUGUUUAAUAAUUGUUUCUCAAUUUUUAUAUACAUGUAUCUUAGACCAUUGGUUUUCCUGUCUGAAAGAGGUUAGACUGGAAAUUUUUGAGGCCCUUUAUUGCCUGCUGACUGUUUGGUGUGAGGUUAGGCUCUGUUGAAGGCUGUACUUUGAC
rnacentral:lncRNA from 1 species